rnacentral:rRNA from 1 species
ACCCCUGUGACAUACCACUUGUUGCCUCGGCGGAUCAGCCCGCUCCCGGUAAAACGGGACGGCCCGCCAGAGGACCCCUAAACUCUGUUUCUAUAUGUAACUUCUGAGUAAAACCAUAAAUAAAUCAAAACUUUCAACAACGGAUCUCUUGGUUCUGGCAUCGAUGAAGAACGCAGCAAAAUGCGAUAAGUAAUGUGAAUUGCAGAAUUCAGUGAAUCAUCGAAUCUUUGAACGCACAUUGCGCCCGCCAGUAUUCUGGCGGGCAUGCCUGUUCGAGCGUCAUUUCAACCCUCAAGCACAGCUUGGUGUUGGGACUCGCGUUAAUUCGCGUUCCUCAAAUUGAUUGGCGGUCACGUCGAGCUUCCAUAGCGUAGUAGUAAAACCCUCGUUACUGGUAAUCGUCGCGGCCACGCCGUUAAACCCCAACUUCUGAAUGUUGACCUCGGAUCAGGUAGGAAUACCCGCUGAACUUAAGCAUAUCA